AUUGAACGCUGGCGGUAUGCUUAACACAUGCAAGUCGAACGGUAACAGGCCUUCGGGCGCUGACGAGUGGCGGACGGGUGAGUAACGCGUAGGAAUCUGCCUAUUAGUGGGGGACAACGUGGGGAAACUCACGCUAAUACCGCAUACGAUCUACGGAUGAAAGCAGGGGACCUUUGGGCCUUGCGCUAAUAGAUGAGCCUAUGUCGGAUUAGCUAGUUGGUGGGGUAAAGGCCUACCAAGGCGACAAUCCGUAGCUGGUCUGAGAGGAUGAUCAGCCACACUGGGACUGAGACACGGCCCAGACUCCUACGGGAGGCAGCAGUGGGGAAUAUUGGACAAUGGGCGAAAGCCUGAUCCAGCAAUACCGCGUGUGUGAAGAAGGCCUGAGGGUUGUAAAGCACUUUCAAUGGGAAGGAAUACCUAUCGGUUAAUACCCGGUAGACUGACAUUACCCAUACAAGAAGCACCGGCUAACUCCGUGCCAGCAGCCGCGGUAAU
rnacentral:rRNA from 1 species